UGUCUGCUUCAUCAACGUCUGAAACCCCACCUCCUCCAGUCUCUCUCUCCACUUCGUCUCAGGCGGCGUGGAAUCCCGGCUGUGUUUAAUUGCUGAGUGGUAAGAUCUGAGGGAGAGAUCAGGAGCCGCUGCGUCUGUCAACGCUUUACGAGCCCCAACCCCGGGAGAGAGAGACAGGGAAGGUGUAGGAAGGAAGUGUUUGGAGUUUGGGAAUUCUUACGCAGUGGGGAGGUGAAACGCUGAAGUAAGACUUCAGUGUUGGAGGAAGGAAAAGAGGGAGGGAAAGAAAAGAGGCCCACCGUUGGAGAAAUCGCAACAAGAGGGAAAAGUGGGAAAACAAGAAUAAGUUAGAAAAAGGAGGAAGGAAGGACGGAAGGAAGGAAGGGGGAGGUGAGCGAAAAGUUAGAGAGGGAGAGAGAGAGAGAGAGAGUAAAACGCAGUGAACGAGAGGAGACGCAGAUGAGAAAAACAGACGCUGUGGAUGGCCUGGGUGGAGAGAGAACCAGUUGUUUUCUAAGUCGCCUUUCAGACUGGAAUGCACUCGGAGAAUUUGAGAUUCCCAACGCCUUACUGCAAACUUUGCUUGCGACGCACGCCGGGCCCCGCAGACGGAUCAUGGCUGCGUAUGGAGUCCAGCGUAGCCCCGUUCCCGAAGGAGUUGGGGAUGGAGCAAGCGGAGAGGACUGGAUCAUUCCCGGCGCGGCAGGUUUACACCGAGGAGAUCCGGAAUCCGUGCUACAGGUGGGACUCGCCAUGCAUUCGGCGGGAGUGUGGAUGCAUCCAGCGGUGGUAUUACCCAGAGCUGUUGCAUCCCUUCAACGGUGACCAUGUUUUGAAGGUCAGACAUCACCGGUGUCACUCAUCCUACAUCCAGGAACGGGAUAACAUUCAUCAGUCUGAAUACAACGGAUAUUGUGAGAGGAGACGAGUGUCGUUCCGGCAUCACAAGGAACGAUCCGAGACUGGUGGACAAUCACACCGUAAUGGGCCGAACUCUGGACAGGUGGCUUUUUUCCCAACUGAGGUGCCCCCCAGCAAGUUGGGAUGCUCCAGGGCACUCGGGAACGGGCUGCAGGUGAACGGACCGGAGCGGGAAGUAAGGACGUCUCGGGGGAAUGCAGGUCUCGAGAAACAUGGCAAGCAAAGGACGAGCCAGGGAACAGUACGGGAACAGAUCAAACAAGUGGUCACGGAGCUCGAGGAAGUGCUGGGUGGUCUCAAACAGGUCCAGUUGGAGAUGAAAGAGGUUGUCCAAAAGAUCGACAUUCUAACGUCCAACAUUGACCUUGGUGAAGACCAACCAAGUCUAUCCAAUGGACUCUCCCAAGAUAACACCAAAAGCAGUCGAACUGGUGUUGUUGCAUUGAUUCACAAUUCAAACGGCGAGGAGGGCAUGUCAACUUCCAAUUCCUCACUUGAACACAGCCCUGUCACUUUGGAUUUAGUUCACAUUAACAGUCCAUCGCCAAUGAGAAACCGCAUAAGCCCGUCCCCUCCUGAGCUACGAUCCGUUACUGUUGAGGAUAAAGGCAAACGAGUUGGGAAACAGAGCUCAGAGACUCAAAGGACUCAAAGGAUGGCAAAUGGAAACUGCCUACUGCAUCAAACAGCAAGGAAAGGCCUAUUGGAAAACCACAGACCCACUGUAGCUCCAGAAGUGUGCACUAACUCAAAUAAAACCCACAGGCUUCCACCUUACCCUCAGAACGGACAGGUGAAGAUGAGGACCCCUCCCUAUCCUGGAAAACAUAAGAUGCUCUCCUCCACCAUAGUGUAAGGACACAAAACUCGCUAUCACAGAAACCCAAUCAUCAGCAAAGAAGAAAACACACGCAUAUACUCACAGAUACAUUGAACACAUGCUCAACCGAUUACCAAGUAACUCGUCCAAAUGUAUCUUGGUGACAAAACUUGGGGGACUGAUGCCACACAACCCGGCUGACUCACACCGGAGGACGGAGGCCGCGGGGCAGUGACUAUAUUUCCCAUGGAAGACUCCAGAAACAUCUCAAACCCCUAGCUCUUUCUCUCUCACACCCCUGCUGUAAAAAAGCUAGUUUGGACCAACUUAAAGUCACCAUGAAAUGGCAUUCCCAGCUCAAAUUUUCUUACUUCAUGUGGUUGGAGGGGCUGGGUCAAAAAGCAAGAGGGAUUUGUGAUGUCAGCUGAAAAGGAAAUUAGUUUUAAAGGCGGAGCAAGUUGUUAAAGAAAGAUUAUGAAAAAAGCUUUUUUUAAAAAAAAUAAGAAUAAUGUGCAUCAAGGAAUUUUAAACAAACAGGACCGUGUUUUAAGAAAGUAAAUAUGGUAACGUGCAAUAAACCAAUCAGAGUCUCAUCUCCAUUGCCUUUAAGAGCCAGUUGCGCUCAUGCCAUGACUAUCCAUUGUGACGUGCAUUUAUAUAUACAUAUAUAACACAGAAUAUAACAUAUAUAUAACAAAGAAAAAACAAUUGAGCCAGACUUUAGACCAGGUUUGAGUUGGUCUAUGGAGGCGUCUAUUUUCAGCUCCUUAAAAUAGCAAUGUGCCUGAACACAUGCUCUUUUUUAGAGCAUGCCCAUGGGCGCAAAAAUGAGUGCAAAUGCAUUUGCUAAUUAAACGAUGUGGCGCUGGACUGAAACUAGCAAACACACUUGCACUGCCUUGCGUCGCAUUGCGCCGGGUGUGUGACCAUGGCAUCAGAAUUUUUUCUUUUUUUUGCAAAUAUAUGCAUUUAAAAUGCAUGACCCUUCCCUCUAGAAAACCAGUCCAAAAAUAUGGACUAUGCAUAGACUAGACCAGUGGUUCUCAAUUCCGGUCCGUAGCAACUGCAUAGCAACAUUCUAAAAAAAAACACAACAUUACACCUUAGCAACUGCAUGACAACACCUUGACAACUGCACGGCAACAUUCUAAAAAGCCAGACACAAUAUAACACCUUAGCAACUGUAUAAUGACACCUUGGCAACUGCACAGCAACAUUCUAAAAAGCUACUCACAGCACCUUAGCAACUGCAAAGCAAUGUCAAAAAAAUAUAUAUAUAUAAUUUAAUACUGCUAAACGAUAAAUGCUAAAUGAUAAAUGUCAUUUUGAGAUAUUUAAUAUGAAAAUAAACAAAAUUGUUCAUAUUAUUUUCUUUGUUCAAAACGUUAGUAAGAAGUGACUGGAAUUUAUUUAGAAAGUUCUUUUGUCAACUCAGUGCAGACUAGCUUUGGGUGGUUGUGACAUAAACUAAAGACUAAUGGGUAUUUUAAAAAGGCACCAUUCUUUCCUUAUGUCCCGCCCCAACUUCCUGUUUCAAUAGGAAAUACGUCAACACAGGAAAGAAAAGUGAGCUCAUCAAACCAUUUCAUGAGACUUUAACUGGUUUAGAUGGACACAGUGCUGGUGUGUCACAGGCACAAGUGGGUUAAACUGACUUUUUGUUUUUUUUGAAGGCAGACUAGUGUAAUAUAGUGAAAGGUCCCAAAACUUGCUGGUUAUUUAGGUUAACUGAACUAGUUUAGCUGGUUAAGGGUCAGUUCGGGUCAUUUCAGCAGGGCCUCUCUCUCUCUCUCAAGCUGCACUGUGUGAACCGUUUGGAAGGAGCUGCCCUUCUUAACUACCCUGUGACCUGAUAUCUUUAAAAGGAACACAACCAAGGAAUAAGCUGCUUUAGGCUGGAAAUGUAUGACUUUAUAAUAGGGCCUUGAGCUCUCAGAUGUAUGCAAACUAUCGCCAGUGCUCAUGUAGAUCUGAAAGACUGUCACUACCCAGCUAACAAAAACAUGUUCUAAGAACGUUUUGCUACCCAGUGUUGGGGAAAGUUACUUUUGGAAGUAAUGCAUUACAAUAAUGCCUUACUCCAUAAAAAACUACUAAAUACAUUCUUAGUUACUUUUAAUGGUAAGUAAUGCAUUACGUUACUUUUGUGUUACUUUUUUUCAACUGGGCUGGUCUUGCUUAAUUAGAUUUUUUCAUAAUAAAAAUCCCACAAGUUAUAUAUAUAUAUAUAUAUAUAUAUAUAUAUAUAUGUGUGUGUGUGUGUGUGUGUGUGUGUGUGUAUAGGCAACUGUAAGGCCUUAUUUGAAAAAGUAACACCAAUAUUUAAUUGUAAAUUUAAAAGUAGGAUGCGUUACUUUACUAGUUACUUAAAAAGCAAUCCGAUUACUUGUAAUGUAUUACCCACCAGCACUUUUGCUAACGUUCCCAUUAAGUUAUGAAACCGUUAUUUCUGAAUGUUCUCUGAACAUUUUUUAAUAUUAAUGGUCAAACGUUUGUUUACAACCUUCCAUGUUAGCUGGGUAGACCAUAAAAAGAGAAAGUGUUUUCUGAAUAUUGUUAUUAUUGCUAUUGUUAUUCAGACCAAAGAUUAAAAUGAUUUUUGUUCAGGGAGGCUGAAGGAUCUAGGAUUAUGUUAAGCUAAAGCUAAAUUAACAUUAACAUUGCCUCAAAGGCAGCUCACAAAAACACUUCAAAGAGGUAUAUAGCUUAGAAACAGAGUUUUUACUUCUGGAUUAAUGUAUAAGUGCAUUAUUGCAGCUGUGGACUGGAAUUAUUUAAUCAGUAUUUAAAGCCAGUAUAAGCCAUCCUUAUAAAUUGUUGCAAUCAUGUAGUGUCGUUUUCACUCUGUGGCCGAUAGAGGGCGCUUCUGACCACAGAACAACAGAAAGGUGACGUCAGUGACACGUGAAUGUCUUAUAAAUGUGUACAGCUCACAUGAAAUAAAACAUGAAGUGUUUAAAUUAUAUUCUCAUUGAGUUCUGAUCUUAUAAACAAACUCAAUAAAAUGGAUUUAUAUUUUCUAAA